GACGAACGCUGGCGGCGCGCCUAACACAUGCAAGUCGAACGAGCGAGAGAGAGCUUGCUUUCUCGAGCGAGUGGCGAACGGGUGAGUAACGCGUGAGGAACCUGCCUCAAAGAGGGGGACAACAGUUGGAAACGACUGCUAAUACCGCAUAAGCCCACGGGUCGGUAUCGACCAGAGGGAAAAGGAGCAAUCCGCUUUGAGAUGGCCUCGCGUCCGAUUAGCUAGUUGGUGAGGUAAUGGCCCACCAAGGCGACGAUCGGUAGCCGGACUGAGAGGUUGAACGGCCACAUUGGGACUGAGACACGGCCCAGACUCCUACGGGAGGCAGCAGUGGGGAAUAUUGCACAAUGGGGGAAACCCUGAUGCAGCGACGCCGCGUGGAGGAAGAAGGUCUUCGGAUUGUAAACUCCUGUUGUUGGGGAAGAUAAUGACGGUACCCAACAAGGAAGUGACGGCUAACUACGUG
rnacentral:rRNA from 1 species